UCCAUGUCAGAUGGAAAAAUCAACCACUAAUAUUGCAGCAAUCAUCCAUGUCAUCUUUGAUUAAUCUUGAUUUGGGCUUCGUAUUUUGUUUUGGGCUUCUUCUUUUACCUUUCCUUAUUUUGUUUUGGGCUUCGUCUCUUAGUUUUGUCGACUCAUUCUCUUUUCUCUCUUUGAGGAUUCCGCCGUUCUUCUCUUACUUUUCGACUUCCACAUCUUCCAUUACUUUUCUCUCCAAAUCCGUUUCAACGCAUACCUUCACCACUAGCUGCUCUAAUCAAACCUUUGCUUGAACUCAUUCAAUGGAUUCUUUUCACCUUCCUCUCCAUUUGUCUAUUUAUAAAUCUCUUUUUCUUAGCUUAUGUCUCGAUUAAAAUUGAUAAGCUUCCCUCAGACAAUCAUCCCGAUGGAACUCAAAGGAAACUCUUCAAUCUCCAGCGACCGCAAGACCAACAAGAAGAUCGUCGCAUCCUCCGCGACUGCAAAUCAAACGUCCAGAUCAACCGGCAAGGCACUGACAGCUAUGUUAUGUUCUUCAACGAGGUCGGUCCCAGAUUGGGACAAUCAGAGGCUAACUCAUUUAUGGGAAGCGAGGUACACGGCAAGAGAGCAUUUUUAAUUGGUUUAGUGCUCCUGCUUAUUGACGAACAUGUUAGACAUGAACUGAUGUGUUGAUUUAUUUUAUUUCUUUAGAUUUCAUCGAUUUGUUCCCAUUAACUAAACAUGAACUGAUGUGUUGAUUUAUUUUAUUGCUUUAAACAUUUGUCUCACGCACAACUCUAUCCUUUCGGAGCUUCAAGCUAACCGAGUGGAGAUUGACGUAGACAGGUUCAGCUUCCAUUCACUUGAGAAUUUUGAAGACAACUAUGGACUCAGAGCUGAUCACAAACAAUCCGUGUUCACUUCAGCUGUUAAGAGGAUUAGCAUGCGUUAAACGAUCUGCAGACAAGUUUCAUUGGAAGAUGAAGAUGGUAAUAAGAUGAUCAAUGAGUAUGUUGUUGACCAGUGAAUAUUUGAUCUGUAGCUAGCCAAGUAAUUUUAUAUCAAACCUCUGUUGAUGGGCAAUCUUAUGCUAUCAAGGGCGUAAAGAUCUCUGACAUAUUUUGAUACUUGAGCUAAGGGUUGCACCUUCAGAUACUGCUAUGAGUGAUCUUCGUGAGUUGAAUUGGGAUGCAUUAACAAAGCAGCUAUAAAACAAAAAGAAAGGGGGGAGGGGGCUAACUGCUCUCUCUAGAAAAAGAGCCGAAGAUGAGGCCAAAUAAAGAGUUGGUGAAACUGCGAACCAGCAAGAAAACAAAGAAAAGUUCUCAAUCAAAAUUCAUGGGUUUCGUGUGAGGAGUAUCAAGGAUUUGUUGUAUGAUUUCUGGAACAAUACAAACCAGUUGCUCAAGGAUUUUUUUUCUGGGAAUUACAACAUGAAUGUUCUUCAUCAUUGUUAGGUAUCUACUCUCAAACAUAGAUACGAAGACAAAAAAAAAUUAAAUGGUUUGUUUAUUUUAAACUUGGUGUUCUAUAUGUGAGCACCUUAUGACAGCCAUUGUACAUUAGUGAUUAUAUAUUUUGGAGUCUUAAUCGCUAUGUGAUUCAGAACAGACUUUGGUCUGAGUUUGUCAUUUGAUUGACAUGUCUAUCAUAUGUUUCCGGAGCCUACAAGUUCUUUGUUUUAUGUAUCGUAGGAACCAACACAAAGGACAGAGUUAAGUUCCGUAUACACAAGCAGGUGACCGACCUCUUCAGCGCUUUGGAUGUAGUGAAGCAGAUCACUUCCAUCACUAUUGAGCCUGGUAUUGAGGACAAGUUCAACACAUCUGAAUCUUAGUGCAUGUGGUUUAGUUUACAAAUUGUCUUUGAAUUUCAAUGACU